ACUAAGACCGACUUUCGUCCCUGUUCGACUUGUAGGUCUCACAGUCAAGCUUCCUUAUGCCUUUACACUCU
rnacentral:tRNA from 1 species